GGAUUCGCCUACUUUACUGAUGUUGCUGCUACAUUUGAUGGCAUUAUUAGAGUCUUGAAGGAGAAGGAAUCAAUGCUUAAAGCCGCGAGGAUGCACAUAUAUGUAAAAAGAGGAGGUCCAAGUUACCAAAGGGAUUCUGCCAAAAUGCGGACACUUGGGGAUGAAAUUGGCAUCCCUAUUGAGGUUUAAGGACCCGAGGCAACAAUAUCUGAUAUAUCCAAACGGGCAACUGAGUGCAUCACUGCAGCUGCACAAGUCUGUCAACUCUUGUAGCUAUUCAAUUUAAGUUUUACUAUUGUGUUAUUGUACCUGAAAAUGUGUUGGUGGGUUUAAUUAUUAUAUCCGUCUUUGAUAUAAAUGGGACCAAUAAUGGGCUUGCUUGGUU